rnacentral:rRNA from 1 species
GAGACCCACGCCCACAGUUGCCAGCGUACUCUCCGGAGUGACGGGUACACUGUGGGGACCGCCGCUGCUAAAGCGGAGGAAGGAAUGGGCAACGGUAGGUCAGUAUGCCCCGAAUGUCCCGGGCUACACGCGAGCUACAAUGGUUGGUACAAUGGGUAUCUACCCCGAAAGGGGAUGGAAAUCUCCUAAAGCCAAUCUUAGUUCGGAUUGAGGGCUGCAACUCGCCCUCAUGAAGCUGGAAUCCGUAGUAAUCGCGUUUCAAAAGAACGCGGUGAAUAC